rnacentral:rRNA from 1 species
AGUGAACGCUGGCGGCAGGCCUAACACAUGCAAGUCGAGCGGCAGCACGGGUAGCAAUACCUGGUGGCGAGCGGCGGACGGGUGAGGAAUACAUCGGAAUCUGCCUCGUCUGGGGGAUAACGUAGGGAAACUUACGCUAAUACCGCAUACGACCGAGAGGUGAAAGCGGGGGGAUCGCAAGACCUCGCGCGAUGAGAUGAGCCGAUGUCGGAUUAGCUAGUUGGCGGGUAAGAGCCACCAAGGCGACGAUCCGUAGCUGGUCUGAGAGGAUGAUCAGCCACACUGGAACUGAGACACGGUCCAGACUCCUACGGGAGGCAGCAGUGGGGGAAUAUUGGACAAUGGGCGCAAGCCUGAUCCAG